rnacentral:rRNA from 1 species
AAUCAACGCUGGCGGCGUGCCUAACACAUGCAAGUCGAAAGCGAAAGUGGAGCAAUCCAUGAGUAGAGUGGCAAACGGGUGAGUAACGCGUGGGCGACCUACCUCUGAGUGGGGGAUAACCUUCCGAAAGGAGGGCUAAUACCGCAUGACAUCCCGUGUGUGGAUACACGGACAUCAAAGCCGGGGAUCGCAAGACCUGGCGCUUGGAGAGGGGACGCGUCCGAUUAGCUAGUUGGUGAGGUAAAGGCUCACCAAGGCUCCGAUCGGUAUCCGGCCUGAGAGGGCGGACGGACACACUGGAACUGAGACACGGUCCAGACUCCUACGGGAGGCAGCAGUGGGGAAUAUUGGACAAUGGGCGAAAGCCUGAUCCAGCCAUGCCGCGUGUGUGAAGAAGGUCUUCGGAUUGUAAAGCACUUUAAGUUGGGAGGAAGGGCAGUAAGUUAAUACCUUGCUGUUUUGACGUUACCAACAGAAUAAGCACCGGCUAACUUCGUGCCAGCAGCCGCCGCGGUAA